rnacentral:rRNA from 1 species
UACGGAGGGUGCGAGCGUUAUCCGGAUUCACUGGGUUUAAAGGGUGCGUAGGUGGGAAUGUAAGUCAGUGGUGAAAUCUCUGAGCUUAACUCAGAAACUGCCAUUGAUACUAUGUUUCUUGAAUUUUUCUGGAGGUCAGCGGAAUAUGUCAUGUAGCGGUGAAAUGCUUAGAUAUGACAUAGAACACCAAUUGCGAAGGCAGCUGGCUACAGGGAUAUUGACACUGAGGCACGAAAAGCGUGGGGGAUCAAACAGG